rnacentral:rRNA from 1 species
CUACGGGCGGCUGCAGUGAGGAAUAUUGCACAAUGGGGGGAACCCUGAUGCAGCAACGCCGCGUGGAGGAUGACGCAUUUCGGUGUGUAAACUCCUUUUAUAUGUCAAGAAAAUGACGGUAGCAUAUGAAUAAGCACCGGCUAACUCCGUGCCAGCAGCCGCGGUAAUACGGAGGGUGCAAGCGUUACUCGGAAUCACUGGGCGUAAAGGACGCAGUAGGCGGGUUAGAAAGUCAGGUGUGAAAUCCUACAGCUUAACUGUAGAACUGCACUUGAAACUUCUAAUCUAGAGUAUGGGAGGGGGAGAUGGAAUUAGUGGUGUAGGGGUAAAAUCCGUAGAUAUCACUAGGAAUACCUAAAGCGAAGGCGAUCUCCUGGAACAUUACUGACGCUAAGGCGUGAAAGCGUGGGGAGCAAACAGGAUUAGAUACCCGUGUAGUC